rnacentral:rRNA from 1 species
CACGUAGGGCGCAAGCGUUGUCCGGAAUUAUUGGGCGUAAAGAGCUCGUAGGUGGUUUGUUACGUCUGCUGUGAAAACCUAGGGCUUAACCCUGGGCUCGCAGUGGAUACGGGCAGACUAGAGGUAGGUAGGGGAGAAUGGAAUUCCUGGUGUAGCGGUGAAAUGCGCAGAUAUCAGGAGGAACACCGGUGGCGAAGGCGGUUCUCUGGGCCUUACCUGACGCUGAGGAGCGAAAGCGUGGGGAGCGAACAGG